ensembl:snoRNA LOC120095440 small nucleolar RNA SNORA48
AACCCCUGGCAAUGGGCAAAGAGACACCUUGGUGGUGCUGUUCCUAUAUCAGUGAGGGGCAGAGCCGAUGGCAGGCCUUUGUUCAUCCUAGCUUGAUGCCUCCUGGCUUGGUGGCCAAAGCUGUUUCAUGCUUGGGCACACUU